ensembl:lncRNA
AUUUGACCAUCUAAGAGGGUUUUCACCGACGUCACGUCUUGGGCAGUAACCCGGAUGCGCGGCCAUGUUGGAGGCACUCGAUGUAAACACUGCGCUGUAAUGCAUGUAAACUCUGCGCUGGAUAAACGAAAACGCUGCGAUGGAUAAAGGUCCUAAACCCAAGAAAAGCUCGUCAAAAGGCGUUAUAGAUGCAAAGGCAUACAGGGAAGGACUUGGGCCGGGCGAAAAAGCAGGAUAUUUGAGGAAGUUAGAUUUGAUUGGUGGUGCAGAUCCCUACGAGUUGGCUCCCUCGUCUUGGAUCAAUGACGACCCGGAGAGUCUUCCGUCUGUUUGUUAUCCUGACAUCGUCAACUACCUGGUUUUCUCGCCAAGCCCAUACACAGCGGAAGACCUUAAAGCGUACAAAAGUUUGGAGGCCUAUAACCAGAUGGUGUGUGGAUGGGUGAGGGAGAUUCAAUACCAAGUCAUCGACGACAGAUGUGUUGCGAAGGCCAAAGUUCUCCAUUCUCAAUCAAUCCGAGAAACAACCCUGGAUAAUCGCUGAGAAGUCUGGUCGGAUACUUGGAGCCCACUGCACGUGUAUGGCUGGCCUCGGAGAGACGUGCACACAUGUUGCUGCAUUAUUGUUUCUCAUAGAAGAAACAGUGAAGUUGAGGGACUCAAAGACAGUGACGCAAGAGAAGGCGUAUUGGCUGUUACCUACUGCACUGUCUAAGGUGGAAUACAGGGAAUGCCGGAAGAUUGACUUCACUGUAACCAAGAGGUCUCAAGUAAAAGAGCUGGCAGGAUGAAAUGUGCUGCUCUUGGACAGCCACUUGAGGACCCAAGUGAUACUUCCACUUCUUCUACUGUUACAGUUGGGAAACCGCAACAGCCAACCAGUGAUGAACUGUCAUCAUUAUUCAGUGCUCUUAGCGCGACUGGAUCAAAGUCUGCUAUUUUGUCCCUGAUUGAGCCUUACUCUGACAGUUUUGUUCCAAAAUCAAUUGGAGAAAAUGUACCUCUUGUGUUGACGGAAUUGCGAAAAGACGAAGCAGUUCACAUGGACUAUAGUGAGCUAUUGUCCACAUGCAAAGAUGUUGAAAUUUCUGUUUCAGAGGAGCAAGCAAAGGCAGUUGAGGCCGCUACAAGGUAUCAAGCUUCCUCUAAACUGUGGUUUAGAUUUCGCGCUGGUCGAAUCACAGCAUCUAAAAUGAAAACUGCAUGUUGCACUGAUCCAAAACAGCCAGCUCAGAGCUUAAUCAAAAGUGUAUGCUAUCCUGAGUCAUACAGAUUCACAUCAAAAGCCACUACCUGGGGAUGUAAUCAUGAGAAAUUUGCACGUUAUAUGUUUAUAGAUGUACAUAAGGAAUCAUGAAAAUGUUAAAGUACACGACACAGGUUUUUUCAUAAAUCCAAGUGUGCCAUUCUUGGGUGCUUCUCCCGAUGGCCUUGUUUCUUGUGAUUGUUGUGGUGUCAGUGUAAUUGAAGUGAAAUGUCCAUUCUGUGUGAAAAGUGACAUGUUGGACAGUGUAUCCUAUUUGGAGAAGGACAGUGAAGGGAAACUGACACUUAACCGAAACCACCAGUAUUUCUACCAGUUGCAAACUCAACUUGGGGUGUGCAAACUGGAAUCUGCCUAUUUAGUUGUUUGGACAGAAAAGGAUUUGCAUGUUGAGUGCAUUUUAUUUGAAGAGUUUUGGGACACAAUAUGCCAGAAAAGCAAGAAUAUUUUUGACACAGCCAUUAUGCCAGAGUUAGUUGGCAAGUUUUACACAAGGCUUUCAUCUACCAUGGCCAAUGUGUCCUCGCAACCUGGAGUAUCUACCUCGGCUGAAUCACAUGGCUCUGAUUGUGCUGCAAGUGCCAGUGGCCAAGAAGAAACCUGGUGUUUCUGUGGCCAGGUUGAGUUUGGAAAGAUGAUUUUGUGUGACAAUGCAAAAUGUCAUAUUAAGUGCUUUCACUACUCGUGCAUUAAUGUCAAGGUUGCACCAAAGGGAAAAUGGUAUUGCCAAAAGCUACCUAAGUUUGAGCCAAAAAAGGGAAAGAAACCUUUGAAGUAAAAAAACAAAACUGUAUUUUUUAGUGGACUGUUGUGAAGUUACGCACUUCAGGCACUUUGUUUUAAUGUUGGUUAAAACAAUAUUUAAUUUAUUUAGAAACGUGUACCUUUUUUGAAACUGUUCUUUAAAUAUUUUUAGCAUUUGAUUUCAAGUUGGUGAGAUUUUGCAAUGCUAUACUGACAAAAAAAGUUGUAAAACUCAAAUUACAUACAAAAUUAUGUUCGCACUAUAGUAUACUGUAUAUACUAUAAUUUAUAGUACUGUAUAGUUUAUAAGCUAUCUGUUCUGAUAACUGUGUGGUUUUCCUUUAAUAAAUCUGUGUUCUGAUGAUAGUGUUAUGAUGUGUUCUCUUCCACAACAAUACGUUAACAAAAACUGUAAAUUAACAACCAUUUAUAAAUAAUUUUAGGCUAUAUAGUCUUUUUAUUGACAAAGUGCAUAUAAAAAUAUUCUUCAGUCAAAAUCAACAAUGGAUGGGCAAAGGUUCACCAGAGCACAACAGACAGGUGAACAAAGCUGGGUCAUCAGUCUCAGAAUCAUCAGUCUCUGCAGCAACUCCAGCACCAGCAGCAUCAGCAGCAGCUUCUCUCAGUCUCUGCUGGGUUCUAUUCCCACGACGGCUGUAGCGUGAUGAUGUCCCAGCUUUUUCAGGAGACCUUUGCUGACCUGUCAUUCCGACAGAUGGCACCCAAUCUGGGUCAUCCUUUUGAUAAAGGUCAGACCUUUUACCUGGAAUACAAUGAGAAAUACAGCACAUUGUAGCUCUACAUUUUAAGAACUGUGUUGCUACUGUAGCAGACUAUUAAAUAUGAUCCUAAUCAGAUAUUAAGUCAAUAAUGCAACAUAAAAACAUGUCACUUACCUGACAAGAAAUGGGCCGAACAAAUUCGGACGUUGUCCAGAUUUUUGCCACGUAGAUCCUGGUUCAGCUUCGCUAACCACAAGCGCCUCCUUUCCUCUGACAACUUUUGGCAUUGUUCUCCUUGAUUAGUUAUAACUUUUGGCAGUCUGUAAUACUCCAAAUGUUUUUCGCGGUCUGACCGAUUGGUACAGCCAAAAACACGGCAAUAAUUUACCAUUUUCCACGAAGAUAUUCGGGAUCUACUGCGGCGCGCGCUUUAUUUACCUUGGCGUGCGGUUUAUUUACCUUGCCGAGUACCUCCAACAUGGCGACUGCCGGAUUGAUGACGCGCUGAUGACGCGCCGUGAAAACCCUCUGAUGAAUCUGUUGGAGACCAGAGGUGCGUUCAAGUUCAGCGAACAUAGGCGAACGUUCGCAACGAACGCGUUGACAUUAAACAAUUAAUUUUGAAAGAUUUUU